rnacentral:rRNA from 1 species
GACGAACGCUGGCGGUGUGCUUAACACAUGCAAGUCGAACGGUAAGGCCCUUUCGGGGGUACACGAGUGGCGAACGGGUGAGUAACACGUGAGUAACCUGCCCUCAUCUCUGGGAUAACAGUCGGAAACGGUUGCUAAUACUGGAUAUGAGCUUGCAAGGCAUCUUGUGGGUUGGAAAGAUUUUUUUGGUUGGGGAUGGACUCGCGGCCUAUCAGCUUGUUGGUGAGGUAGUGGCUCACCAAGGCUUCGACGGGUAGCCGGCCUGAGAGGGCGACCGGCCACAUUGGGACUGAGAUACGGCCCAAACUCCGACGGGAGGCAGCAGUGGGGAAUAUUGCACAAUGGACGGAAGUCUGAUGCAGCAACGCCGCGUGCGGGAUGACGGCCUUCGGGUUGUAAACCGCUUUCAAUUGUGACGAAGCUUUUUGUGACGGUAGCAGUAGAAGAAGCACCGGCUAACUACGUG